rnacentral:rRNA from 1 species
UACGUAGGGGGCAAGCGUUGUCCGGAAUCACUGGGCGUAAAGCGCGCGCAGGCGGCGAUCUACGUCCGGGGUGAAAGCCCAGAGCUCAACUCUGGGACUGCCUUGGAUACGGGAUCGCUUGAGGAUCGGAGAGGCAAGGGGAAUUCCACGUGUAGCGGUGAAAUGCGUAGAGAUGUGGAGGAACACCUGUGGCGAAGGCGGCAUCCUGGACCAAUAUUGACGCUGAGGAGCGAAAGCUAGGGGAGCAAACGGG